rnacentral:rRNA from 1 species
CCCUUAGAUGUCCGGGGCUGCACGCGCGCUACACUGUAGAAAGCAGCGUGCUUUAAAACCUUUCCUGAAAAGGAUGGGUAACCCCAGCAAAAUUCUACGUGCUUGGGAUAGAGAUUUGCAAUUUUCUCUCUUGAACGAGGAAUUCCCAGUAAGUGCGAGUCAUCAGCUCGCGUUGAUUACGUCCCUGCCCUUUGUACACACCGCCCGUCGCUACUACCGAUUGGGAAAAUUUUAGAGAGUCCUGGACUGAUGAUUGUUCGGCUUCACGGCCUUACUUUCGUGGGGAAAGAAUUCGAUAAUAUUUUUCUAGAGGAAGUAAAAGUCGUAACA